UGCCUGGAGUUCAGACGUGUGCUCUUAUUUGCCUUUGAAAGAAACAAAAAAGCCAAAAAAGCUACAUGUGUAAAAUACAUCACCAUUGACACCAGACUAUUAAUCACCAAAACACCAUACAGAACUUUAUUUUUUCCCAUAUGAACCCUAUGUUGAAAAUGUUCUGGGGAAUUACUGUUCCAAGCUGAAUUCUCUUGAGAAGCUAAAGAAUCCCAUUCAUUUUUAGUUUAAAUUGAAAUCACCAUAGCCAGAUAGGGGUGGUUUAAAACCCAGUCUGUCACCUACAAUCUCCAUGACCUUAAACUGGUUAUUUAACCUGUGAAGCUUCGAUAUCCCCAUCUGUGAAAUAACAUCCAUUCAUGGGUUUGUGAUGAGGAUUAAAGGAGAAAAACAACAUAGGUAGAGUACUUAACGUGGUCUCUGGUCCUUUAUACACUCUCAAUUAAUUAGUGUUACCAUUGCUACCUUUUAUGCCACUGCUUAUGUCUAUAUUCCUGACUUUAUUCCUAGCUUGCCUAAGAACUUGAAAUAUGCUUCAUAUCAAGGUAGAUUUAAGCAUCUAUUACUUUUUCUUUCAAUGGAAUAACAUAAGGAUUAAUUAUGGUGGACUGAAUUAUUCUCUGUGAGUAUAGUGCUGGAAGUUUUUUGUUGUUGUUAUUUGUGGGUUUUUUGUGUGUUGUUUUGUUUUUCUUUUCUUUUAAGAAAUGAUCAUCCACCCUGCUUUUAUAGAAAGAUGGGCUAUUUCAUAAUCUUAAGAGGUAUUAUGAACUUAACCAAAACAACUUUAAAACAAAAUUAAGUUUUCUAUACUUUAAAAAGUAAAUUCACAUGAUGGAGCAUAUUGCAGACUGGGAAUAUGAUGGAAGGAUAAUUUGAACAGUUGAAAACAAAACAGCAGAGAUAUGCCAUUGCAAUAUGCCAAGGAUGAUUGCUUUAAGUGUUAUAUUAGCCAGCCUAUACACAUGUACUUUUUCUAAGAAUGAACCAACAUAUUAACAAGUAUGAAGGACAGAAUAUUCAAAAACUCAUAUACAAUAUUCAGAUAUUAUUAAAAAUUAGUUUGGAGACAUGGAGUACAGAAUUGGGGCAAUGCCAACAUCUUCUGCAAAGAUGAAUUAUGGAAAGCUAAUUUUUAAAUUUUUUUAAUGUUUAUUUAUUUUUGAGAGAGAGAAACAGAGCAUGAGCAGGGGAGGGGCAGA